GUAGGUGGCAAGCGUUGUCCGGGAAUUAUUGGGGCGUAAAGCGCGCGCAGGCGGUUCUUUAAGUCUGAUGUGAAAGCCCACGGGCUCAACCGUGGAGGGUCAUUGGAAACUGGAGAACUUGAGUACAGAAGAGGAAAGCGGAAUUCCACGUGUAGCGGUGAAAUGCGUAGAGAUGUGAAGGAACACCAGUGGCGAAGGCGGCUUUCUGGUCUGUAACUGACGCUGAGGCGCGAAAGCGUGGGGAGCAAACAGGAUUAGAUACCCUGGUAGUCCACGCCGUAGACGAUGAGUGCUAAGUGUUAGGGGGUUUCCGCCCCUUAGUGCUGCAGCUAACGCAUUAAGCACUCCGCCUGGGGAGUACGGCCGCAAAGGCUG
rnacentral:rRNA from 1 species